CAAAAUAUAGCUUAACUAAAGCAUCUCGCUUACACCAAGAAGUUAUCUGUGAAACCCGGAUUAUUUUGA
rnacentral:tRNA from 1 species